rnacentral:rRNA from 1 species
CCUACGGGUGGCAGCAGUGGGGAAUAUUGGGCAAUGGGCGCAAGCCUGACCCUGCAACGCCGCGUGAAGGAAGAAGGCUUUCGGGUUGUAAACUUCUUUUCUCAGGGACGAAGAAAGUGACGGUACCUGCGGAAUAAGCCACGGCUAACUACGUUCUAGCAGCCGCGGUAAUACGUAGGUGGCAUGCGUUAUCCGGCUUUAUUGGGUGUAAUGGGCGUGUAGGCGGGAAAGCAAGUCAGGUGUGAAAACUCAGGGCUCAACCCUGAGCCUGCAUUUGAAACUGUUUGUCUAGAGUGCUGGAGAGGCAAUCGGAAUUCCGGGUGUAGCAGUGAAAUGCGUAGAUAUACGGAGGAACACCAGUGGCGAAGGCGGAUUGCUGGACAGUAACUGACGCUGAGGCGCGAAGGCGUGGGGAGCGAACGGGAUUAGAUACCCCGGUAGUC